AGGUUCCCCUACCAUGCCUCGUUUAGCGUGUAAUUUGCUCAAACACUAGCAAGCUCUCGAGGCGGAAACAUCAGAGCUGGUGGUCAGUAUUCGCUCUUGCCAUCGUGGGUUGAAUCCCGCAAAACGUGCCUGACGUGGGUCCUUUUCGACGUUGCAUGGACCACGACCGUUCUACUGUACCGUUUUCUCUCGUCGAAAUUGCAAACGUGUCGCGAACAGGUCAAUGGAAAGUGUCGAACAUGACGUACGAGUGAGUGUCGUGAGACUUCAGCCAGUGUGACGGCGUUCGUGAUUACGAUUGAAUCAACGAAGGUUCAAUCGGAUUGAAGGUUCAAUACUUGGUGAUCCAAGAACAUCUAUUGGACGACCAAUAUGGACCAAUGGAAUAUGGACCAAUCGCUUUAGUGAUGCGUGAAUAAGGUGCCGGGACGUGUCUAUUGAUUGUCUAUUGUGACUGUCGAGGCUACCUGUACCGUUCCAACAUAUUAUCGUGUGACGAAUUUUAUUGAUGCGAUCGAGAAAAAGUGAUUAUAUCAAUUUACUCAAAGAAUUACUUUGAAGAAUAUCUGCAGACAAUUGAGAAUCGAAGAAGGGAACUCCAUAUAGAUAUAUAUCGAUAUCUGACAUCGAUCCAAGUGACGAGUGUUUAUUGGUGGGACGAGAGUUAGUGUGUUCCAGUGAUAAUCUAAGAGUGUUUAUUGAGAGUAUAAAGAUUCCACUACUGACGGAACUCGAUCUAGAGAGAAGCCAGUUUCGAGGAGGCCGCGACGAUGCUGCAGACCUAAUUUCGACGAUUUAGCGCCCGUAGACCCACGUCGAUCUCGCCAAAGUGGGUUGCCCAUCCAAGAAGCGUACGAUAAUCGUACGAUGAUGCCGCUCGCGCCGACGCCAAUUGUCCCGGUGCCGUCGAAGCCGAAAAUCGGCUUUAGUAUCGAUUCGAUCGUCGGCGGCGGUGGCCAACCCGGUCGUGAAGCGGACCGCUUGGAUCGGCUUGAGCGAGUCGAAAUCGAGCGUGAUGGCAGCCCGAUGGAGAUAGUCGAGGAUUCGUCGUCGCCACGAGCACGUCGGGCAAGAACACCCGGUGCUCACUCCGAAGGCUCCGAUCGGCCCAUUUCCCGUAGUUCUUCAGUUGAAUCAUAUCCGAAUUCGCGAAGGACUCCGCACGCUGGCGGCGGUGGCGGUCAACUUUCUUACCGUCAUCACAGUCAUCAUAAUCCACUUCCUCAUCAUAACUUAUCAACGACAAAUCUGGACUUUGGCCGGACGAUUCUGCACAGUCACAGCGACGGUUCUACUCCCAACAACAGUCCCAGUCCACCGCAUAGGAUACCACAUGGGGACUCACCAGUUGGCGCGCACCCUCAACCGCCCCCGGGAGUGGUCAGGCCUAGCCCAAACUACCUCGCACCGCCGCCCAGCGCCGCGACGGCCGCGGCCGUCGCCGCGGAACAGCUCAAGUCCUUGUAUGGACUGCCGGGUCAUAGCCCAGCAGGCCCGCAAACCGGUCAGAAUGAAUAUCAUACGCAGCAGUUGGCCCUAGCUGCGAAUUUGGCUGCAGCCCAACACUUCCAAGCGGCGAAUCUUGCAGUGGCGCUCCAAGCGCAUCACGGCGCGUCACCCCAUGGACCGCCACAUGGGCCUUACCCACAUGGAGGAGCCCCUGGCGGGCCCCACCCUCCACCCCAUCCUCAUCAGCCGCCCAGAGACAGCUAUCCUCUGUAUCCCUGGUUACUUUCGAGACACGGCAGGAUUUUUCCGCACAGAUUUCCCGGUGGUCCGGAUAUACCCGGCUUCCUACUUCAACCCUUCAGGAAACCGAAACGAAUAAGGACAGCCUUCAGCCCGAGCCAGCUACUGAAACUGGAACACGCCUUCGAGAAAAAUCACUACGUUGUCGGCGCGGAGAGGAAGCAGUUGGCGCAGGCGUUGUCGCUGACGGAAACGCAGGUAAAAGUGUGGUUCCAAAACCGACGGACGAAGCACAAGCGGAUGCAGCAGGAGGAGGAAGCGAAAGCCCAACAACAAUCGGGCGGAGGUGGUGGCGGCGGCGGUGGUGGCGGCGGUGGUGGCGGCGGCGGUGGUGGCAAUGGUAACACCAACAACAACAGCAACAACAAGAACACUCACCACGUCAGCAAGUGGCAACAGGAGACCGGUGACUAUCAUCAUGAGGAAGAGGAAGAGGAGGAUGAGCACAUCGACCCGGAGGCCGAAGAGUGCACGAGCGACUCCGAGGCGUAGCUAGACGUUCUCUGCCUGGAUUAGGAUCCAGGAUCGAGUGCAAAAUAUCCUGAAUAGAUUCAGAGAGAAUCCGAUCGAGACGGGGGUAACCGUCCGAAGAACGAAUCGAGUUUGCUCCGAACGAGGCUGUCAGUCGCUGUUCGUGUGCGUGGCACGAAGUUAACAGCAAAUUGCGACGUCGUUUCUCAGUAUCUCCGUUCCACGGUGUGGCCGGAGGCCACCGGAAAUCGCGGAGAUCCGUAAAUAUCCUCGAGACUAGGAUGAGGCGUCCUCAGGAUAAACUACCUUAUAACGAAUCCGGAAAAAGCGAUGGAGAAACCGAAGGCGUCCAUCGGAAAUCGGUUAAUGGAGGCAUUGUCUGCGGGAGACGACCAAGUUAAAUGGACGCUCAUCCGCCGGAAGGCUACGAUGUUCAGUGUAUCGAGAAUGGUCGACGCUAACUUUUGGCGGAUAUUUUUUGAUCGUUCGCCUGUGUUGUUGAAACCUCGAGAUUUUUGUCAGUUUUGUCAGUGAGUCAAGGUUCAUAUCCGUUACACUCGAUUUAAUUCUAUUUUGCUAAACAAGACUUCGACUCGCGUAUGACGACCGUGACGGUUUCCAAAGUGACUGUUGAAACCUAAAAAAUGAUCCAGUGCAUCGAUCGUUCGCGAUUCGUCUGGAUGCGCGUAGAUCGCCACCGGAGAUCGCGAAUGGUUUACACUCAUCUUGCCAUAAAAAAUUCGCCAUAAAGACUAAUUUUCAUCGGAUGGUGUAAAUAAAAUAUAGGAGGAUAGAAGGAUAGAUUGCAGCUUCUUGGAUCUUAUUCGGGCGCAUCCCGAUGUUUCUCUUUCGAUUUGAGGCUUGAGAGUGUGAAAAGGGACACGAGUGUAUAUAGAUAGUUAUCGAGAGGCACGCGAGAUGCAAUGUAUGCAUGAGCAUAUGUACAUGCGAACACGUAAGUAAACCGAAUCUUAAAAGUGAGUGCCAAACUUCGUAUUAUUAGAGAAUGGUUCCAGUAUAAGCGAAUUGUAUUUGCGAUUGUAUUUAAGUCGUUGUUCUACGCGGGCGAACAGUAUUCUUUUCGUCAAUCGAUGUUUCAAAAUAUGUACUGACAAUUUAAAUUAUUAUUGUUAAUGUUAGUUAGGGAUGCGCUGCGCCAAGACGGAGCUGUUGUUCUUGUAAAUGUAAAAUACCUUCAAACUGCAAUUUCGAAAUUGUGAUGUCAUUAUGUCAAAAUUAACAUUAUCAAGUAACGUGUCGCGAUUGAUAAAUAUUAUUGAUUACACGAAGAAAAAUUGUUCUCUCAAUCGUUCCGCGUGAAACUCGCACGUUCCUAUUCGCUCGAGCACUCGCUCGAUCGUGGCGCAGGGCCCCCCCGCCUGUAAAUAUUUCUGUAAAUAGCAAAUUGUGAUUUUACUUGACGUACAGAACUAUAAAAUUAUACGAUGAUCAAUUCUGUUCUUUAGCAAUAUAGUGAAAUAAAUUAUAUCAUCUAAAUCUAA
rnacentral:misc_RNA from 1 species